AAGAAACUUCAAGCAUGUGCCUGAACAGUUCUGAAAAGAAGAAGUAGCAGGAGUUUCAAAUGGAGUUUUUACGUCGGUAUUUCUGGGCAGCAUUACUGCUGGCCAUCAUUCUGGUCUCUCUGGUGAUAGUAAUGAUUUUCAUAAUCAUCAAUGUUUGCAUCAGUAAAAGAGCUGCUUGGUACAGUACACAAGCAAAACCAGAUCAUUACGGUGACACAAAUGUAAAAAAACAGAACAACCAAGUUUAUCAUAAAGAGCUUGAGAUAGAGAAACCACCUUUACCUCCCAGAGAUCAGUUCAGAGAAUC